rnacentral:rRNA from 1 species
UUUCCCUCAGGAUAGCUGGCACUCGCUUGAGCGAGUCUCAUCUGGUAAAGCGAAUGAUUAGAGGCCUUGGGGCCGAAACGACCUCAACCUAUUCUCAAACUUUAAAUGGGUGAGAUCUCUGGCUUGCUUGAACGUUGAAGCCACGAGAUUAAUGAAAUGGAUCAGAGUGCCAAGUGGGCCAAUUUUGGUAAGCAGAACUGGCGCUGUGGGA